UAACUGAACUAUGAUGGUGGCCAGUAU
rnacentral:piRNA from 1 species